rnacentral:rRNA from 1 species
UACGUAGGUGACCAGCGUUGUCCGGAUUUACUGGGCGUAAAGAGCGCGCAGGCGGUCGUUCAAGUCGAGUGUGAAAGCCCCCGGCUCAACUGGGGAGGGUCACUUGAUACUGAUCGACUGGAAGGCAGGAGAGGGAAGCGGAAUUCCCGGUGUAGUGGUGAAAUGCGUAGAUAUCGGGAGGAACAUCAGUGGCGAAGGCGGCUGCCUGGCCCAAUACUGACACUCAGGUGCGACAGCGUGGGGAGCAAACAGG